rnacentral:rRNA from 1 species
GACGAACGCUGGCGGCGUGCCUAACACAUGCAAGUAGAACGCUGAAGGCGGAGCUUGCUUCUCUGGAUGAGUUGCGAACGGGUGAGUAACGCGUAGGUAACCUGCCUGGUAGCGGGGGAUAACUAUUGGAAACGAUAGCUAAUACCGCAUAAGAGUAGAUGUUGCAUGACAUUGUCUUAAAAGGUGCAAUUGCAUCACUAGCAGAUGGCCUUGCGUUGUAUUAGCUAGUUGGUGGGGUAACGGCUCACCAAGGCGACGAUACAUAGCCGACCUGAGAGGAUGAGCAGCCUCACUGGGACUGGGACACGGCCCAGGAUCCUACAGGGACCAGCAGUAGGGAGACUGCGGGAAUGGGCGGAAGGCUGACCGAGCAACGCCGCGUGAGUGUAGAGCGUUGUCGUAUCGUAAAGGACGGUUGUAAGGGAAGAACGAGUGUGAGAGUGGCAAGUUCACACUGUGACGGUAUCUUACCAAAAAGGAACGGCUAACUACGUG